GCGCCGUUGGUUUUAGUGAUAAAAUAUCUCGUUGCCAACGAGAUGCCCCGGGUUCGAUUCCCGGACGGCGCA
rfam:Phytophthora infestans T30-4 supercont1.10 genomic scaffold, whole genome shotgun sequence.